GGCCCGCUGGCAGAUUGGUUAUGCAGAGGACUGCAAAUCCUUGUAGCUCGGUUCGAUUCCGGGGUGGGCCUCCA
rnacentral:tRNA from 4 species